UAAAAAAAAAAAUUUGCCCAGGGCUGGAUGGCAUUUUACCUUGGAAGUUUAGUUUGGUAAAUAAUUUUGCCACGCGUCUACUUUAAAGUAUGGUUCUCGAUAAAGCUUCCUUAGGUUAUUUUUCCCCCUAAUUCUCUUCUCAUACGGUCAUAGUGUCAUUAUCAUACCUCAUUAUCUCUCUAAUCCAUCGUAUCUCUUUCUCACAACCUCUUUGCUUCUCCCAAGGAGCUAUAGAUUGGCAGUGGUUGUAAUCAAAUGAUACUCCUGCAAUCCCAUUCAAAGUAUCUUCUCCAACUCCUCACAAAUCGCCUUCAAAACCUUGACAAAGGUGUUGAACUAGACUGCCAAUGGUUUGACUUUGAUGAUGUGCGAUUCAAUGUCCAGACUUCUAUGACGAAUCCACUCAUCUUGUUGUUGUCGGUAUCAUUACCUACAUGAUGUAUGUGUUUUAUACCAUGUUUUACCACGGUUUUAUAAUAUAUAUUUGCAUGGUUUUGGGCUCUAUGGAGUCAUUUCUUGCUAACAAUCUCUUCUCUAGUGUGUUCGAUCUAUUUUAGUGAGUUUCACAGGAAUACGGUGUUUCUUGGAUGAAUCGGACGUAUUUUGGAUGGUUAUAGAAGAGGUUAGUGAGUGAAAAUGAAGAUUUCCCCCAUGCCCUGUUGGGCAUAGCUUGCCCGGGCAGACAGGGCGAAGAAGGACAAUCUAGUUACAAAGUACUGCUGCAGUUUCUACAUGCCCAAUCGGGCAUUGAAGAGCAAGAAUUCAGCAAACUCGCCUUUUGGAGCUGCUUUGCGCGCCCGAGCGUAGCUUGCCCGGUCAGACCGGGCAGAGGAAGAAAAGAAGAACAACGAAGAAGAAACGUCGUCGUACUCUGGCCGCCUGAUCGAGCAUGUAGUAUUAGUUUGGACCGGGCACUGUUUUGCUGAAGUCGUUUUAUUUAAUUUCGAAAUUCUAUCUUUUUAGGGAUAUAACUACCCUUUGUAAUCACAAUUAAAAGACAGAUUAUUAUAUCCUCUAGUAUUAGUUUUACCUAAAAACCCUAGUUACUCUCUCUAGCAUUUAAUUUUUACUCUUAGUUUUGAUUUAUUGUUCAUCAACAAUCCAAGUUCUUUCAAUUGAAGCAAUUGGUAUUCAUUUA